rnacentral:rRNA from 1 species
GACGAACGCUGGCGGCGUGCUUAACACAUGCAAGUCGAACGAAGUGGCGCACGGGUGAGUAACGCGUAAACAACCUGCCCUUCAGAGGGGGACAACAGUUGGAAACGACUGCUAAUAACGCAUACUGCAGGAGGGGAUUGCGUCUGAUUCGCCGGUUGGAGGGGUAACGGCCCACCAAGGCGAUGAUUAGUAGCCGGUCUGAGAGGAUGAACGGCCACAUUGGGACCUGGACACGGCCCAGACUCCUACGGGAGGCAGCAGGGGGGAGUCGUCCGCAAUGGACGAAAGUCUGACGGAACAACGCCGCGUGAGUGAUGACGGCCUUCGGGUUGGAAAGGUCUGUUAAGCGGGACGCGGUACCGGAAUAGAAAGCCACGGCUAACUACGUGCCAGCAGCCGCGGUAAUUG